rnacentral:rRNA from 1 species
UACGUAGGGCGCAAGCGUUGUCCGGAAUUAUUGGGCGUAAAGAGCUCGUAGGCGGCUUGUCACGUCUGCUGUGAAAUCCCGGGGCUCAACCCCGGAACUGCAUUCGAUACUGCGGUGCUUGAGGACUGGAGAGGAGACUGGAAUUCAUGGUGUAGCAGUGAAAUGCGUAGAGAUCAUGAGGAAGACCAGUGGCGAAGGCGGGUCUCUGGACAGUUCCUGACACUGAGGCACGAAGGCCAGGGGAGCAAAACGGG